GCCUCAAAGAGGGGGACAAUAGUUGGAAACGACUGCUAAUACCGCAUAAGCCCACGGCUCGGCAUCGAGCAGAGGGAAAAGGAGCAGUCCGCUUUGAGAUGGCCUCGCGUCCGAUUAGCUAGUUGGUGAGGUAAUGGCCCACCAAGGCAACGAUCGGUAGCCGGACUGAGAGGUUGAACGGCCACAUUGGGACUGAGACACGGCCCAGACUCCUACGGGAGGCAGCAGUGGGGAAUAUUGCACAAUGGGGGAAACCCUGAUGCAGCGACGCCGCGUGGAGGAAGAAGGUCUUCGGAUUGUAAACUCCUGUUGUUGAGGAAGAUAAUGACGGUACUCAACAAGGAAGUGACGGCUAACUACGUGCC
rnacentral:rRNA from 1 species